ensembl:snRNA U1 U1 spliceosomal RNA
AGACUUAUCUGGCAGGGGAAAUACUGUGAUCACAAAGCUAUUAUUUACGUGCUGACCCCCUGCUAUUUUCCCCAAAUGUGGGAAGCAUGACAGCAUCAUUUGUGGUAGUGGAGGAUUGUGUUUACUCUCUCCCCUG